UACAGGGGGGGCAAGCGUUGUUCGGAAUUACUGGGCGUAAAGGGCUCGUAGGCGGCCGGCUAAGUCCGACGUGAAAUCCCCAGGCUUAACCUGGGAACUGCGUCGGAUACUGGCGGGCUUGAAUCCGGGAGAGGGAUGCGGAAUUCCAGGUGUAGCGGUGAAAUGCGCAGAUAUCAGGAGGAACACCGGUGGCGAAGGCGGGUCUCUGGGCCGAUACUGACGCUGGAGGAGCGAAAGCGUGGGGAGCGAACAGG
rnacentral:rRNA from 1 species